rnacentral:rRNA from 1 species
CGGGGGGGGCAAGCGUUGUUCGGAAUUACUGGGCGUAAAGGGCUCGUAGGUGGCCAACUAAGUCAAACGUGAAAUCCCUCGGCUUAACCGGGGAACUGCGUCUGAUACUGGAUGGCUUGAGUUUGGGAGAGGGAUGCGGAAUUCCAGGUGUAGCGGUGAAAUGCGUAGAUAUCUGGAGGAACACCGGUGGCGAAGGCGGCAUCCUGGACCAACACUGACACUGAGGAGCGAAAGCCAGGGGAGCAAACGGGAUUAGAUACCCCGGUAGUCCUGGCCCUAAACGAUGAAUGCUUGGUGUGGCGGGUAUCGAUCCCUGCCGUGCCGAAGCUAACGCAUUAAGCAUUCCGCCUGGGGAGUACGGUCGCAAGGCUG